rnacentral:rRNA from 1 species
AUAGGUUAAGUUAAUAAGGGCGCAUGGUGGAUGCCUUGGCACUAGAAGGCGAUGAAGGACGUGACUAACUACGAUAUGCCUCGGUUAGCUGUAAGUAAGCUUACCCGGGGGUUUCCGAAUGGGGCAACCCGAUCUUAAUGAUCAUCAUCUUUUUGAAUUCAUAGAUUAGAUGAAGCAAACGCUGUGAACUGAAACAUCUCAGUAGCAGUAGGAAAGUAAAGAAAUUUCGAUUCCGUCAGUAGCGGCGAGCGAACGCGGAAGAGCCCAAACCUGGAUGCUUGCAUCCAGGGGUUGUAGGACUGAUGUUGAGUUACAAAGGUAUAAGAUAGCAGAAACAGUUGGGAAGCUGUUCCAAAGAGGGUGACAGGCCCGUAUGCGAAAUCUUGUACUCUCUAAUCAGGAUCC